rnacentral:rRNA from 1 species
GACGAACGCUGGCGGCGUGCUUAACACAUGCAAGUCGAACGGAAAGGCCCUGCUUUUGUGGGGUGCUCGAGUGGCGAACGGGUGAGUAACACGUGAGUAACCUGCCCUUGACUUUGGGAUAACUUCAGGAAACUGGGGCUAAUACCGGAUAGGAGCUCCUGCUGCAUGGUGGGGGUUGGAAAGUUUCGGCGGUUGGGGAUGGACUCGCGGCUUAUCAGCUUGUUGGUGGGGUAGUGGCUUACCAAGGCUUUGACGGGUAGCCGGCCUGAGAGGGUGACCGGCCACAUUGGGACUGAGAUACGGCCCAGACUCCUACGGGAGGCAGCAGUGGGGAAUAUUGCACAAUGGGCGGAAGCCUGAUGCAGCAACGCCGCGUGCGGGAUGACGGCCUUCGGGUUGUAAACCGCUUUCGCCUGUGACGAAGCGUGAGUGACGGUAAUGGGUAAAGAAGCACCGGCUAACUACGUGCCAGCAGCCGCGGUGAUACGUAGGGUGCGAGCGUUGUCCGGAUUUAUUGGGCGUAAAGGGCUCGUAGGUGGUUGAUCGCGUCGGAAGUGUAAUCUUGGGGCUUAACCCUGAGCGUGCUUUCGAUACGGGUUGACUUGAGGAAGGUAGGGGAGAAUGGAAUUCCUGGUGGAGCGGUGGAAUGCGCAGAUAUCAGGAGGAACACCAGUGGCGAAGGCGGUUCUCUGGGCCUUUCCUGACGCUGAGGAGCGAAAGCGUGGGGAGCGAACAGGCUUAGAUACCCUGGUAGUCCACGCUGUAAACGGUGGGUACUAGGUGUGGGGUCCAUUCCACGGGUUCCGUGCCGUAGCUAACGCUUUAAGUACCCCGCCUGGGGAGUACGGCCGCAAGGCUAAAACUCAAAGGAAUUGACGGGGCCCCGCACAAGCGGCGGAGCAUGCGGAUUAAUUCGAUGCAACGCGUGGAACCUUACCUGGGUUUGACAUGGAUCGGGAGUGCUCAGAGAUGGGUGUGCCUCUUUUGGGGUCGGUUCACAGGUGGUGCAUGGCUGUCGUCAGCUCGUGUCGUGAGAUGUUGGGUUAAGUCCCGCAACGAGCGCAACCCUUGUUCACUGUUGCCAGCACGUUAUGGUGGGGACUCAGUGGAGACCGCCGGGGUCAACUCGGAGGAAGGUGGGGAUGACGUCAAGUCAUCAUGCCUCUUAUGUCCAGGGCUUCACGCAUGCUACAAUGGCUGGUACAGAGAGUGGCGAGCCUGUGAGGGUGAGCGAAUCUCGGAAAGUCGGUCUCAGUUCGGAUUGGGGUCUGCAACUCGACCUCAUGAAGUCGGAGUCGCUAGUAAUCGCAGAUCAGCAACGCUGCGGUGAAUACGUUCCCGGGGCU